GAGGGUAUAGCUCAGUGGUAGAGUGCAUGCUUAGCACUCAGGAGGUCCUGGGUUCCAUUCCCAGUAACUCCA
rnacentral:tRNA from 1 species